UACGUAGGGUGCAAGCGUUGUCCGGAAUUAUUGGGCGUAAAGAGCUCGUAGGCGGUUUGUUGCGUCGGCUGUGAAAUCCCGAGGCUCAACCUCGGGUCUGCAGUCGAUACGAGCAAACUAGAGUGUUGCAGGGGAGACUGGAAUUCCUGGUGUAGCGGUGAAAUGCGCAGAUAUCAGGAGGAACACCAGUGGCGAAGGCGACCACCUGGACGACUACUGACGCUGAGGCGCGAGAGCGUGGGGAGCAAACAGG
rnacentral:rRNA from 1 species